rnacentral:lncRNA from 1 species
GCGGCGGCGGCGGCGGGCGGCGGGCGGGAGCUGUCCGCGGUGCUGAAGCGGCGGCGGCGGCGGCGGCGGAGGCGGCGGGGACCCGGGGCCGGGAGCAGAGGCGCCCUUCUGGGAGCUUCGCCGAAGCCGUGAGGCGAGGGCGCCAGUUGCUCCCCGGCUCAUGCCCGGCGGGCCCCCCAAGCCCCUCGGAGGAGGUGGGACUGCCCUCGGCGGGACAGGUGACUAUAUACUGGCGACCCUAGACAGAGCCUCUAUUUGGAGUCCUCCUUCCUUCUGGCAAGAGCGUGCUGAAUGAGCUCAUUCAGGCCUGCAAAGUGCUUCCAGUUCUUCAGAACAGAGUUCUCUGAGUGGCAGAACAUGGCCAACUCAUCUGUGCAUCCUAGAGAGACCUCCAGCCUUAAAGUACAGCACUCCAGAGAGAAAAAGGCAGAAGGAAUAGGCUUCACUUUGGGGAGAAGAAAUAUCCCAGAUAAAAAAACCUUGCUCCUUGGCCAACCCCCAGCCUCAACCCUUGCCCCAAGCAAACCAAGCAGAGAGUGAGAGCCCAGUGCUCUAGCUCUCCAUCAGAUGUGUUAUCUUCCACUGUUAGAUGCUCCGUUUGCUUCUAAGUGUUUGGGAAUGAGCUGCUUCAGUGGAGACGGAGAUUGUUUCAGCAAGAAUAAAGAUUUGAUUUCCACCUGAAAACAGACUAAUUUGUGUAAUGGUAUCACCAUUCCUGUCUUCCCAGCAAUUUUCACCUUUGUCGGCCACAAACCCACCCCUAAGGCAAGCAGUUUUUGCUCUGGAAGAGGCCAGUCCAGCCUGUGGGCGUUCAGGGUGGCAGUGGAUAAAACAGAAGGUGAACUGAAGUUCCCAAGAAAAGAGCAACUGAAACGCCUCCUGUGGGAGCUGAGAAGUAUUCCAGCUGUUUAUCUUUCCUGGGUUCCCCCUCAGCCCUCUUCUCCUCACUCUCCAUAGGUCCUUCUUCAUUCUCAAAUCUCUCUCCAGACCUGACCACCACCCAGGGCUUCAUCUCCAUACAUCAAUUGCCAGGUGGGGUUUCUACCUUUGUAUCCCAAAGGCACUUCAAAACCAAACUCAUCCACUUCUCUUUCUCUUUCUUUCCAUCUGUGUGUGUAUGUUUCAUUUUUUCAGCUUGGUACUUGGUGACCCAUUUCAAUCUAAAUACUCUUUUUUUUCAGUUCAUGAAUCAUGAUCUGCUUUUGCUUCUUUAAUUAUUAUUGUUUUCCCUCCAGUCUCUCUGUUCUGUCUUUCUGACAUUCCUGUUGGAUGGAUGUUUGAUCUCCUGGGACACUCCUCCAUUUCUCUUAACUUGCAUAUCUUCCAUCUUUUUGUCUUUUUGCUCUGAGUCUUGGGAAAUUUCAUUAACUUCUUCUUUUACAUUAAAAAGUUAAUCUUUAACUAUGUCCAUUCUAUUAUCCAGAGUAUCAAUUGAAUUUUUAAAAAUUUGGACAAUUAUUUUCCAUUUUUAAAAUACUUUGUUAUUCCUUGACUGCUCCUUUUUCAUAGCAGC